UACAGAGGGUGCGAGCGUUGUCCGGAAUCACUGGGCGUAAAGGGCGCGUAGGUGGCGGCAUAAGGCCGCGGUGAAAGUUCGGGGCUCAACCCUGAAUCGGCCGCGGCGACUGUGUCGCUAGGGCACCGUAGAGGCAGAUGGAAUUCCGGGUGUAGCGGUGGAAUGCGUAGAGAUCCGGAAGAACAUCAGUGGCGAAGGCGGCCUGCUGGGCUGUUGCUGACGCUGAGGCGCGACAGCGUGGGGAGCAAACAGG
rnacentral:rRNA from 1 species